rnacentral:rRNA from 1 species
UACGGGGGGGGCAAGCGUUGUUCGGAAUUACUGGGCGUAAAGGGUUCGUAGGUGGCCAACUAAGUCAGACGUGAAAUCCCUCAGCUUAACUGGGGGAAACCUGCGUCUGAUACUGGUUGGCUUGAGUGCAGGAGAGGAACGCGGAAUUCCAGGUGUAGCGGGUGAAAUGACGUAGAUAUCUGGAGGAACACCGGUGGCGAAGGCGGCGUUCUGGACUGCAACUGACACUGAGGAACGAAAGCCAGGGAGGCAAACGGG